GACGAACGCUGGCGGCGUGCUUAACACAUGCAAGUCGAACGGAAAGGCCCUGCUUUUGUGGGGUGCUCGAGUGGCGAACGGGUGAGUAACACGUGAGUAACCUGCCCUUGACUUUGGGAUAACUUCAGGAAACUGGGGCUAAUACCGGAUAGGAGCUCCUGCUGCAUGGUGGGGGUUGGAAAGUUUCGGCGGUUGGGGAUGGACUCGCGGCUCAUCAGCUUGUUGGUGGGGUAGUGGCUUACCAAGGCUUUGACGGGUAGCCGGCCUGAGAGGGUGACCGGCCACAUUGGGACUGAGAUACGGCCCAGACUACUACGGGAGGCAGCAGUGGGGAAUAUUGCACAAUGGGCGGAAGCCUGAUGCAGCAACGCCGCGUGCGGGAUGACGGCCUUCGGGUUGUAAACCGCUUUCGCCUGUGACGAAGCGUGAGUGACGGUAAUGGGUAAAGAAGCACCGGCUAACUACGUG
rnacentral:rRNA from 1 species